UGCUUUUUUUUCCGUUUUUUUUUUUUUUUUUUUUUUUUU
rnacentral:ribozyme from 14 species